AUACGGAGGGUGCAAGCGUUGUUCGGAAUUACUGGGCGUAAAGCGCGCGUAGGUGGUCUGUUGUGUCAGAUGUGAAAGUCCACGGCUCAACCGUGGAAGUGCAUUUGAAACUGGCAGACUUGAGUACUGGAGGGGGUAGUGGAAUUCCCGGUGUAGAGGUGAAAUUCGUAGAUAUCGGGAGGAAUACCGGUGGCGAAGGCGACUACCUGGCCAGAUACUGACACUGAGGUGCGAAAGCGUGGGGAGCAAACAGGAUUAGAAACCCUAGUAGUCC
rnacentral:rRNA from 1 species